UUUAUGGAGAGUUUGAUCCUGGCUCAGGAUGAACGCUGGCGGCGUGCCUAAUACAUGCAAGUCGAGCGAACGGACGAGAAGCUUGCUUCUCUGAUGUUAGCGGCGGACGGGUGAGUAACACGUGGAUAACCUACCUAUAAGACUGGGAUAACUUCGGGAAACCGGAGCUAAUACCGGAUAAUAUUUUGAACCGCAUGGUUCAAAAGUGAAAGACGGUCUUGCUGUCACUUAUAGAUGGAUCCGCGCUGCAUUAGCUAGUUGGUAAGGUAACGGCUUACCAAGGCAACGAUGCAUAGCCGACCUGAGAGGGUGAUCGGCCACACUGGAACUGAGACACGGUCCAGACUCCUACGGGAGGCAGCAGUAGGGAAUCUUCCGCAAUGGGCGAAAGCCUGACGGAGCAACGCCGCGUGAGUGAUGAAGGUCUUCGGAUCGUAAAACUCUGUUAUUAGGGAAGAACAUAUGUGUAAGUAACUGUGCACAUCUUGACGGUACCUAAUCAGAAAGCCACGGCUAACUACGUGCCAGCAGCCGCGGUAAUACGUAGGUGGCAAGCGUUAUCCGGAAUUAUUGGGCGUAAAGCGCGCGUAGGCGGUUUUUUAAGUCUGAUGUGAAAGCCCACGGCUCAACCGUGGAGGGUCAUUGGAAACUGGAAAACUUGAGUGCAGAAGAGGAAAGUGGAAUUCCAUGUGUAGCGGUGAAAUGCGCAGAGAUAUGGAGGAACACCAGUGGCGAAGGCGACUUUCUGGUCUGUAACUGACGCUGAUGUGCGAAAGCGUGGGGAUCAAACAGGAUUAGAUACCCUGGUAGUCCACGCCGUAAACGAUGAGUGCUAAGUGUUAGGGGGUUUCCGCCCCUUAGUGCUGCAGCUAACGCAUUAAGCACUCCGCCUGGGGAGUACGACCGCAAGGUUGAAACUCAAAGGAAUUGACGGGGACCCGCACAAGCGGUGGAGCAUGUGGUUUAAUUCGAAGCAACGCGAAGAACCUUACCAAAUCUUGACAUCCUUUGACAACUCUAGAGAUAGAGCUUUCCCCUUCGGGGGACAAAGUGACAGGUGGUGCAUGGUUGUCGUCAGCUCGUGUCGUGAGAUGUUGGGUUAAGUCCCGCAACGAGCGCAACCCUUAAGCUUAGUUGCCAUCAUUAAGUUGGGCACUCUAAGUUGACUGCCGGUGACAAACCGGAGGAAGGUGGGGAUGACGUCAAAUCAUCAUGCCCCUUAUGAUUUGGGCUACACACGUGCUACAAUGGACAAUACAAAGGGCAGCGAAACCGCGAGGUCAAGCAAAUCCCANAAAGUUGUUCUCAGUUCGGAUUGUAGUCUGCAACUCGACUACAUGAAGCUGGAAUCGCUAGUAAUCGUAGAUCAGCAUGCUACGGUGAAUACGUUCCCGGGUCUUGUACACACCGCCCGUCACACCACGAGAGUUUGUAACACCCGAAGCCGGUGGAGUAACCUUUUAGGAGCUAGCCGUCGAAGGUGGGACAAAUGAUUGGGGUGAAGUCGUAACAAGGUAGCCGUAUCGGAAGGUGCGGCUGGAUCACCUCCUUU
rnacentral:rRNA from 1 species